ensembl:snoRNA SNORD64 small nucleolar RNA, C/D box 64
GGGUUUGUGAUGAGUUAUGAAAACUGAGCAUGAUGAAAUGAGGCUGAACAUGAUUACUCUGAAGUAC